UAUGGUUCAAUGCACUUACUUUGAUUUGAGUCCAUGGUUACAGAAAUCGAUUGAGUUUUUGUUUGGUUUGUUUGGAAUGGGUUUUUGGCAGCUGAUGGGACAAUUGAUAUGCGGUAAAUGUGCGCAUGCGCGUCGAGAACCAAUCAUUGCAGGGGUUCAGGACCGUAAUCCGUAAUUGAUAUAAUUGUUAGGGUUUCGCCGGAGGCUGUGGUCGACAUUCGGAUUUGUGAGCAAAUAAAUAAUAAUUGGUCUUGAGAACAUACAAGAAACUCAGACCAAUAAUGAAUUUUAUUGUAGAUUAGGGACUGAGUGGAUACUGGUGUCAACAACAAAUUUAAUGCAUAAUAAUAUCAAUUCAUGAUUCAUUGUAUGGACUGCAAUAAUCAGUGAUAAAUUUGGAGGACAGAUGUAAAUAAAUAAAAUAACGAUUGUUUAAUAGCAUUUAAGCUUACAGAGUCACGAUAUCCAAGUGUAUAACAAAAGACACAUGUAACGACUGCAACCAACAAUAUAAGUCAUUCAAGAA